CUACUCUGUCGUGGGGAUAACGUAGGGAAACUUACGCUAAUACCGCAUACGACCUACGGGUGAAAGCAGGGGAUCUUCGGACCUUGCGCGAUUGAAUGAGCCGAUGUCGGAUUAGCUAGUUGGCGGGGUAAAGGCCCACCAAGGCGACGAUCCGUAGCUGGUCUGAGAGGAUGAUCAGCCACACUGGAACUGAGACACGGUCCAGACUCCUACGGGAGGCAGCAGUGGGGAAUAUUGGACAAUGGGCGCAAGCCUGAUCCAGCCAUACCGCGUGGGUGAAGAAGGCCUUCGGGUUAUAAAGCCCUUUUGUUGGGAAAGAAAUCCAACUGGUUAAUACCCGGUUGGGAUGACGGUACCCAAAGAAUAAGCACCGGCUAACUUCGUGCCAGCAGCCGCGGUAAUACGAAGGGUGCAAGCGUUACUCGGAAUUACUGGGCGUAAAGCGUGCGUAGGUGGUUAUUUAAGUCCGUUGUGAAAGCCCUGGGCUCAACCUGGGAACUGCAGUGGAUACUGGAUGACUAGAAUGUGGUAGAGGGUAGCGGAAUUCCUGGUGUAGCAGUGAAAUGCGUAGAGAUCAGGAGGACAUCCAUGGCGAAGGCAGCUACCUGGACCAA
rnacentral:rRNA from 1 species